rnacentral:rRNA from 1 species
AUUGAACGCUGGCGGCAGGCCUAACACAUGCAAGUCGAACGAGUGGCGGACGGGUGAGUAAUGUCUGGGAAACUGCCCGAUGGAGGGGGAUAACUACUGGAAACAGUAGCUAAUACCGCAUACCAUCGGAUGUGCCCAGAUGGGAUUAGCUCGUAGGUGGGGUAACGGCUCACCUAGGAGACGAUCCCUAGCUGGUCUGCGAGGAUGACCAGUCACAAUGGAACGGAGACACGGUCCAGACUCAGACGUGAGGGAGAAGUGGGGAAUAUGGCACAAUGGGCGCAAGCGUGAUGCAGCCAUGCCGCGUGUAUGAAGAAGGCCUUCGGGUUGUAAAGUACUUGCAGCGAGGAGGCGUUACUCGCAGAAGGAGCACCGGCUAACUCCGUGCCAGCAGCCGCGGUAAUUC